AGUGAACGCUGGCGGUAGGCCUAACACAUGCAAGUCGAACGGCAGCACAGUAAGAGCUUGCUCUUACGGGUGGCGAGUGGCGGACGGGUGAGGAAUACAUCGGAAUCUACUUUUUCGUGGGGGAUAACGUAGGGAAACUUACGCUAAUACCGCAUACGACCUACGGGUGAAAGCAGGGGAUCUUCGGACCUUGCGCGAUUGAAUGAGCCGAUGUCGGAUUAGCUAGUUAGCGGGGUAAAGGCCCACCAAGGCGACGAUCCGUAGCUGGUCUGAGAGGAUGAUCAGCCAAACUGGAACUUGGACACGGUCCAGACUCCUACGGGAGGCAGCAGUGGGGAGUAUUGGACAAUGGGCGCAAGCCUGAUCCAGCCAUACCGCGUGGGUGAAGAAGGCCUUCGGGUUGUAAAGCCCUUUUGUUGGGAAAGAAAAGCAGCAGGUUAAUACCCCGCUGUUCUGACGGUACCCAAAGAAUAAGCACCGGCUAACUUCGUG
rnacentral:rRNA from 1 species